rnacentral:lncRNA from 1 species
CGAGCACCUGGAGUUUAGAAGGAAAUAAAAAUUUCGGAGGCUUUAUUUUGAUGAAAGUCGAUUCAGUAGCAACCCCGGGGCCAUCCUUAGGAUUCCGCCUGGAGGAACACACUUACCUUUCCCCGGUGCGGCUCACUCUUCUAGAAACCUUUACUUGGGGGGGUAGAGGCUUUCCUUCUAUGGGUUUUCAGAAGCCAAAGGAACUCCCUCCACCAAUUCAAAUCCACAUAUAGUUUUGGAGAAGUGCCUGGGACACGGUGAGGUUAAGUGAUUUACCCUGAACUACGGACAGGUAUUUGCCAGCGGAGUAACUAACCCGAACUCUUCCUUAUUUGGAGGUCGGCUCUCUACCCGCUAUGGCCCGGGUAUCUCUGAAAUCCAGUAUAAAAUCCAAAUUGUCGAUGCCCACUGAAGUGGGCAGAACCAGAAGGACAAUGCAUACGGUUACAGGAAUAUUAUACCAUGAUCAACUGCGGAGGACUAAAUCCUUAUCAGCAAAGCAAGCCUCCAAGAUAAUCACCUGGGACUCGUGAUAAAAAGGUUAGCCAAGCCAGAGAAGGAAGGGUUGGAGUCUGAGUGCAGAUCAAAGCUUGCCACCUUCCACUAUAUUUCCUUCAGGAGAUUUCUAUUCUGUGUGUGAUGUGGCUUCUAUCAUGGCAUGUGAGCAGCAUGGAAAUAAGUAUGGCAUGAAAAUAUGGGCAUAACCGAGAUUAGACUAUUCACGGCGGCACGAUGGGGGAGAGGGCAAGGAGCGAGGCAGUCUGGAUUUUAAGAGGUCAAAAACCAAUUGUCGAGGUACUUAAGAAAAAGAAUGCUCUCCACGGCUAGAGAAAGAACUGUAGGAGUAAAAAUCCAGAAGAAAACAUGGUCCAUCACUUGUUUCUAUGGGCAACUUGGGUUUCCUGCCAGUUCCAUGCCCACCACUGGAGUUGAAGUCAACAGCAGCUGGGAAUGCAUAACUGAGGGCAGAAGUCAGCCCAGUAUGAGGUUAAUUGGACCAAAUUAAAGCUAUAGGAAUUCAACCAAUUCUGUCAGAGCUCUCCAGUGGACAGCCUUUAAGAGGGUUUCCCCCAACAACUUAAAAGUAUUUGAAAGAGACAUUGCCUUUGGGAAUGUAAAUAAUAUUUAGAAUAAUCAGUGGCACACCACUAUCCCUACUGUGUUUUGAAAAGCUAUAUAAAUGCCACCUAAUUUUUUUUUUCCAAAAUAGCAGCUGAAUAGGGCACUGUUCACAGAGGAGAUGUCACACCAUACCUCCUGCCUCAUGCCCACUCCUUAAUCACUGGGAUCAACAUCCCAGGUAAUGCAGCCUACUUGGAAUGGAUCCAGGGAACCCAGGACACCUUUAAAUGAAAGGGAAUUUCCAUAAGGUCCUCUAUCUACAAGGGUAUUUCCCCCAAGAGUUUAGAAAAUUAUAAAGGCAAGGUAAGUGAGACAAAUGGCAUGCCUGAUUUGGAUAAAAUGUUUGAAAUAAUAAUAACAGCAUUUUUUCUAAUGACUACUAUGCACGGGGUGUUCAGGAAGGACUAGCACCUCAUCUGCCUUUAGUAUAUACCUUUCACCAACCCCCAAUUUAUGACUCCAAGAAGCAGUAGCAUUCAUAGUAAAACCAUCUUGGCAGAGAGGUUCGAUCAGGUUGAGGGUAACUGAUGGAUCUCAAACUCAUUCAUGAAUUAGGAAGACUACCCCAAGCAUGUGAAGACUUCCCUUGAUGAAAUGGAAAGAUGAGAACAAUUUGUUCCAAUGGCCAUGAAGGAGGUUGAAGCAGGCACUGUGGAGGGCUUAGAGCUUGAUCAGACAUGGAAGACACCGAGAUUAUUCACUGCAUUCCAGGCUAUCUUCAGUCAUCCUGACUUUUGUCUUGCUAUUAGACUUUGGUGACUUUGGAAGAGAGAAUGAGGCCAAUGACUUUGUGUCCCUCUGCCUCACUUAAAUCCAAUUCACUUGGAAGUCAAGACACCACCCUCUAAGGGCAUUGGUCCUUUUUGAAAUGAAGGAUGAACAAC